UACAGAGGGUGCGAGCGUUAAUCGGAAUUACUGGGCGUAAAGCGUGCGUAGACGGUUAUCUAAGUCGGAUGUGAAAGCCCCGGGCUCAACCUGGGAAUUGCAUUCGAGACUGAAUAGCUAGGGUGCGGUAGAGGGAAGCGGAAUUUCCGGUGUAGCGGUGAAAUGCGUAGAUAUCGGGAGGAACACCUGUGGCGAAAGCGGCGCACUGGACCAUAACUGACGCUGAGGCGCGAAAGCUAGGGGAGCAAACAGG
rnacentral:rRNA from 1 species